CCUCUGCUUGCUUUGUCCAUUAUACUUUUAGCCCUCUGUUGACUUUCUUUGGAGAUUUGGAAUUAUUCACUGGUUACUGGAUAAAUAUUGGGGGUUAUUGCUUGAAUUGUUAGGACUGUAGUAGCGCAAAUUUCUGGGUUGUUUGUUGAACCGGAAGGGCAUUGUGACCCCUGCAUCGCUUCUUGAAGUUGGUUAGCUAAUUUUGGUUUACUGGGUGUGUUUAGUCUCUUGAUUUCACUUGCCUUCUGUAGUCGUUUCAAUUGAGUUCAUUUGCUGCCUUUGUUGGAGCAUCUGUUGCGAGUGUGGCAUUGUAUAGCUUCUACUGUUGGCUGAUGCAUUGGUGGCCAUAGGAAGCGUUUACUCUGCUCUGUUAUAGCUAUUUCAUUGAUUUUGGACUACGUUUUGCACCAGUGGUACUGGUUGGGGUAUUUUGACUAGCAUUUGUUAUUUCCAAUUGGUUGGCUACCUGAUUGUGUUUGUGUGGUUAUUCUCCAAUUUCUAUACUGCUAUUACUGGAAUUGCUGCUUUUGAGUUGAGAAAUUAACUGUCUAUUUGGAAGCUUUGUUGAGAUUUUGGGUGGACAGAGUUUUGCAUUUGCUGGUUGAAUUGAGUUAUGAUGACUCAGAACUUGGGCGCGUACUUCCACCACAUCGGUUUCCCUCCAUCGUCCCCGCCUACCCCGUAGCCACUUGAGAGGGAAGUUUCGUUGUCCUUUUCACUUUAACUGCUUUAUUUCCUCCAUUGAGGGCAAUGUAGGAUCUAGGUGUGGGGGGGCAGCUGUGCUAGUUUUUCUACUUUUUAGUUUUUCUUAGAUGUUUUUGCUUUCUUUUUUUUUAAUUUGCUAUUUGUCCACCUCUCGUUCAAUUUCUUUCUUCCUUUUUAAUGAUUAGCUCAUAAGUGAUGCCAAAGUUUGAUGUUGGAUUAUUGCAUCUAUUUCUACUUUUGCCAAGUUUUAAUAAUAAAAGGGUGUCAAGUUAAUGUGGUUGAAUCCAAGAACAUCUCUUUGGUGAAUAUCGAUAAUUGUUUUACUCUUCUAAUUUUUUUUUGGUUAACUCUCCUAG
rnacentral:lncRNA from 1 species